GACGAACGCUGGCGGCGUGCUUAACACAUGCAAGUCGAACGGUGAAAGCGGAGCUUGCUCCGCUGGAUCAGUGGCGAACGGGUGAGUAACACGUGGGUGAUCUGCCCUGCACUUCGGGAUAAGCCUGGGAAACUGGGUCUAAUACCGGAUAGGACCACUGCCUGCAUGGGUGGUGGUGGAAAGCUUUUGCGGUGUGGGAUGGGCCCGCGGCCUAUCAGCUUGUUGGUGGGGUGAUGGCCUACCAAGGCGACGACGGGUAGCCGGCCUGAGAGGGUGACCGGCCACACUGGGACUGAGAUACGGCCCAGACUCCUACGGGAGGCAGCAGUGGGGAAUAUUGCACAAUGGGCGCAAGCCUGAUGCAGCGACGCCGCGUGAGGGAUGACGGCCUUCGGGUUGUAAACCUCUUUCAGCACCGACGAAGCGCAAGUGACGGUAGGUGCAGAAGAAGGACCGGCCAACUACGUGCCAGCCGCCGCGGUAA
rnacentral:rRNA from 1 species